AUUGAACGCUGGCGGCAUGCCUUACACAUGCAAGUCGAACGGUAACAGGUCUUCGGAUGCUGACGAGUGGCGAACGGGUGAGUAAUACAUCGGAACGUGCCCGAGAGUGGGGGAUAACGAAGCGAAAGCUUUGCUAAUACCGCAUACGAUCUCAGGAUGAAAGCAGGGGACCGCAAGGCCUUGCGCUCACGGAGCGGCCGAUGGCAGAUUAGGUAGUUGGUGGGAUAAAAGCUUACCAAGCCGACGAUCUGUAGCUGGUCUGAGAGGACGACCAGGCACACUGGGACUAGGACACGGACCAGACUCCCACGGGAGGCAGCAGUGGGGAAUUUUGGACAAUGGGCGCAAGCCUGAUCCAGCCAUGCCGCGUGCAGGAUGAAGGCCUUCGGGUUGUAAACUGCUUUUGUACGGAACGAAAAGACUCUGGUUAAUACCUGGGGUCCAUGACGGUACCGUAAGAAUAAGCACCGGCUAACUACGUGCCAGCCGCCGCCGCUGUAA
rnacentral:rRNA from 1 species